rnacentral:rRNA from 1 species
UGGGGAAUAUUGCACAAUGGGCGCAAGCCUGAUGCAGCCAUGCCGCGUGUAUGAAGAAGGCCUUCGGGUUGUAAAGUACUUUCAGCGGGGAGGAAGGGAGUAAAGUUAAUACCUUUACUCAUUGACGUUACACGCAGAAGAAGCACUGGCUAACUCCGUGCCAGCAGCCGCGGUAAUACGGAGGGUGCAAGCAUUAAUCGGAAUUACUGGGCGUAAAGCGCACGCAGGCGGUUUGUUAAGUCAGAUGUGAAAUCCCCGGGCGCAACCUGGGAACUGCAAUUGAUACUGGCAAGCUUGAGUCUCGUAGAGGGGGGUAGAAUUCCAGGUGUAGCGGUGAAAUGCGUAGAGAUCUAGAGGAAUACCGGUGGCGAAGGCGGCCCCCUGGACGAAGACUGACGCUCAGGUGCGAAAGCGUGGGGAGC